rnacentral:rRNA from 1 species
AUUGAACGCUGGCGGCAGGCCUAACACAUGCAAGUCGAGCGGAUGAAGGGAGCUUGCUCCUGGAUUCAGCGGCGGACGGGUGAGUAAUGCCUAGGAAUCUGCCUGGUAGUGGGGGAUAACGUCCGGAAACGGGCGCUAAUACCGCAUACGUCCUGAGGGAGAAAGUGGGGGAUCUUCGGACCUCACGCUAUCAGAUGAGCCUAGGUCGGAUUAGCUAGUUGGUGGGGUAAAGGCCUACCAAGGCGACGAUCCGUAACUGGUCUGAGAGGAUGAUCAGUCACACUGGAAUUGAGACACGGUCCAGACUCCUACGGGAGGCAGCAGUGGGGAAUAUUGGACAAUGGGCGAAAGCCUGGUCCAGCCAUGCCGCGUGUGUGAAGAAGGUCUUCGGAUUGUAAAGCACUUUAAGUUGGGAGGAAGGGCAGUAAGUUAAUACCUUGCUGUUUUGACGUUACCAACAGAAUAAGCACCGGCUAACUUCGUG